UACGUAGGUGGCAAGCGUUGUCCGGAUUUAUUGGGCGUAGAGCGAGCGCAGGCGGUCAAUUAAGUCUGAUGUGAAAGCCCCCGGCUCAACCGGGGAGGGUCAUUGGAAACUGGGAGACUUGAGUGCAGAAGAGGAGAGCGGAAUUCCACGUGUAGCGGUGAAAUGCGUAGAGAUGUGGAGGAACACCAGUGGCGAAGGCGGCUCUCUGGUCUGUAACUGACGCUGAGGCGCGAAAGCGUGGGGAGCGAACAGGAUUAGAAACCCUAGUAGUCC
rnacentral:rRNA from 1 species